AUUAUGAGAACCAAUCCUACUACUUCGCGUCCCGGGAUUUCCACAAUUGAAGAAAAAAGCGUAGGGCGUAUUGAUCAAAUUAUUGGACCCGUGCUGGAUAUCACUUUUCCCCCGGGCAAGUUGCCUUAUAUUUAUAAUGCUUUGAUAGUCAAGAGUCGAGACACUGCCGAUAAGCAAAUUAAUGUGACUUGUGAGGUACAACAAUUAUUAGGAAAUAAUCGAGUUAGAGCUGUGGCUAUGAGUGCUACAGAGGGGUUGAUGAGAGGAAUGGAAGUGAUUGACACGGGAACUCCUCUCAGUGUUCCAGUCGGUGGAGCUACUCUCGGACGAAUUUUUAACGUUCUUGGGGAGCCUAUUGACAAUUUGGGUCCUGUGGAUACUAGUGCAACAUUUCCUAUUCAUAGAUCUGCGCCUGCCUUUAUCGAGUUAGAUACGAAAUUAUCUAUCUUUGAAACAGGUAUUAAGGUGGUCGAUCUUUUAGCUCCCUAUCGACGUGGAGGAAAAAUCGGACUGUUUGGGGGGGCAGGAGUAGGUAAAACAGUACUCAUCAUGGAAUUAAUCAAUAACAUUGCUAAAGCUCAUGGAGGCGUAUCCGUAUUUGGCGGAGUAGGGGAACGGACUCGUGAAGGAAAUGAUCUUUAUAUGGAAAUGAAGGAAUCCGGAGUAAUUAAUGAAAAAAAUAUUGAGGAAUCAAAGGUAGCUCUAGUCUAUGGCCAAAUGAAUGAACCGCCGGGAGCUCGUAUGAGAGUUGGUUUAACUGCCCUAACUAUGGCAGAAUAUUUCCGAGAUGUUAAUAAGCAAGACGUGCUUUUAUUCAUCGAUAAUAUCUUUCGUUUUGUUCAAGCAGGAUCGGAAGUAUCCGCCUUAUUAGGCAGAAUGCCCUCCGCAGUGGGUUAUCAACCUACCCUUAGUACAGAAAUGGGUUCUUUGCAAGAAAGAAUUACUUCUACCAAAAAGGGAUCUAUAACUUCGAUCCAAGCAGUUUAUGUACCUGCAGACGAUUUGACCGACCCUGCUCCUGCCACAACAUUUGCACAUUUGGACGCUACUACCGUACUUUCCAGAGGAUUAGCUUCCAAGGGUAUUUAUCCCGCAGUGGAUCCUUUAGAUUCAACCUCAACUAUGUUACAGCCUCGGAUUGUUGGCAACGAACAUUAUGAAACUGCGCAAAGAGUUAAGGAAACUUUACAACGUUACAAAGAACUUCAGGACAUUAUCGCAAUUCUUGGAUUGGAUGAAUUAUCGGAGGAGGAUCGUUUAACUGUAGCAAGAGCACGAAAAAUCGAGCGGUUCUUAUCACAACCGUUCUUUGUGGCAGAAGUUUUUACCGGUUCUCCAGGAAAGUAUGUUGGUCUUGCAGAAACAAUUAGGGGAUUUCAACUAAUCCUUUCCGGAGAAUUAGACGGCCUACCCGAACAGGCUUUUUAUUUAGUGGGGAACAUCGAUGAAGCUAGCACGAAAGCUAUAAACUUAGAAGAGGAGAGCAAAUUGAAGAAAUGAAAUUAAAUCUUUAUGUACUGACUCCUAAACGAAUUAUUUGGGAUUGUGAAGUGAAAGAAAUCAUUUUAUCUACUAAUAGUGGCCAAAUUGGUGUAUUACCAAACCACGCCCCCAUUAACACAGCUGUAGAUAUGGGUCCUUUGAGAAUACGCCUCCUGAACGACCAAUGGUUAACGGCGGUUCUGUGGAGUGGUUUUGCAAGAAUAGUUAAUAAUGAGAUCAUCAUUUUAGGAAAUGAUGCAGAACUGGGUAGUGACAUUGAUCCAGAAGAAGCUCAACAGGCACUUGAAAUAGCCGAAGCUAACUUGAGUAAAGCUGAAGGUACGAAAGAAUUGUUUGAAGCGAAGCUAGCUCUCAGACGAGCUAGGAUACGAGUCGAGGCUGUCAAUUGGAUUACCCCCAUCCAAUUGAAGACAAUCCAAAGAUUCGUUGAUACAAAGAAAAAGGAAAGAAGGGUAGAAAAAGUUAUUAGAUAGCGAAGCGAAGUAGAUCCCAAUGCUAUCUAGUAAUUUUUCUACCUACCUACCUACUAUUGGAUUUGAACCAAUGAAUCCCGCCGUAUGAAAGCAAUACUCUAACCACUGAGUUAAGUAGGCAAUUUAUCACCACAAAAGAAGCCCAUUACUUCGAUCGAUUAUAGAUUGAAUCCUUUUUAUAAGCAAUACCGCUCCGUUAUUGGUAUGUUUAUGUUAUAUAGUAACGGAUCAAGGGAUAUCCUCUGGCAUUAGAGAAUAUUCAUCUUGACAAGAAAUUAUCUAUAUGUUAAGAUAUCUCUGACAAGGGCUAUAGCUCAGUUCGGUAGAGCAAACUCGUUUACACGUGCGCCAAUGCUUUUCAAGGGAACUUUUUAUGCAAUGAACAUAAUUGACCUUGUUGCAAAAUCAAUGUCUUACUUCAUGGAUUCGAAAGAAUAGAAGAACAGUAGCCUGACAAUGACAAACAGCUGGUUCAGUCCGAUUCAGGUGCCAAUUAAGGUGCUUACUCAAAUAGAACUCCUAUUGAUUUGCUAGUUGAUAAGGUAAAUAUCCAGCCCACUCAAUGCUAGGCGUAAUGAGGAUAAGGGCCUCCAAAAAACCUUCUUUUCGUUCUAUGAACUUUAAGGGUGUAUGAAGUCCUCAUAGUAAACUCUUGCAGCGGAACGAUAGAGACUCCAUUUCACUUAGGUUGAUUUAAUUUAGGCCGGAGGCAGACCUAAGUCAAGGUAAUCCUCCUUUGAAACACUUUGGUAUUGUUCCUAGAUAGAUCAUAAGACAAAUAAUCAAUCAGAGCACAGGGAGCCAUCUUAUUAUCUUUCCCUAAAGAAAAACUAUGGCGAAUUAACUGAUCUUUACAUUAGUUGAUGAAAGAGCCCAAUGCAGAAAAAAUGCAUGUUGGGUCUUUGAAACAGUUCGAAUCAUUUCGAUAAUAAUCUGUUUGAUCUGUUUUACCGAGAAGGUCUACGGUUCGAAUCCGUAUAGCCCUAAUAUAUACGUCUUUUUUCCAUUUUAGGAUGGAUAUCUUAUGUUUCCUUAGUAUAGUUUUCUUUUCCUUAUUUAGUACUUGUUUAUAGACUCGACGGUCGAUUGCGCCAUAGAAUAGAGAUAAAAGCAUUACCAUAGGCUCAUUCAUCGAAACGCAAAUCAGAGAGACAGGAAAAGAAAAAAGAUUUUGAUCAAAUCAAUAGAAGGAAGGAUCCCUUACCUGAUUUGAAUUUCAUCCUCCUUUAAAUAGGAUAUGCUCUAAGUCUUCCCAUACUUUCCUAUAAUGACUGCAACGAUUUUCUCCAUUUUGCGAAUUCCUAUUUUAUUUGAAGUAUAUUACUAUCAUAUACAUUAUCUAAAUCGAUCCACUUUAAAUAAAUAGAAAAAAUCGAAAGAAAAAAAAAAAGAAAGAGUAAAUAAUAAAACAGGAUAUUCUGUUUCAUAAUUCUGAAAUAGAGUUCUUUUUUUAGUAUUACUCCUCAUUAGGAUGUAUAUAUUAAUCAUCCUAUUUUAAUAUAUAUUAAUCAUCCUAUUUUAAUUAGGUUCUAAUCCAAUUAGUAGUAAGUAUUUUCUUUUUUAUUUAAUAGUCUCUGACUAUCAUUAAAUAAAGGGUAGAGCAAUUCUUUUUUCUAGAGAUUCUAGAGAAAGUGAGACAAAGUGAAGCGAAAGAGUUUUCUUUGUAUAAGAAUUAGGUCUAUAUCAUAUCUAAAUAGAAGGGAAAUCAAAAAGAAGGGAAGUGGGGAUUACAUUGGAUGAAUCCUUAAGGAAGACAUAUCACAAAAGAAAUAAAGCUAAAGUAAGCGCUCCUUGCCUUUGGUUUGAGCAAAACAGAUUCUUGUUUCACCGAGGAAAAGAGAGAAGUUCUGGAUAAAUUGACAAUGUCAACUUGAAUUGACUAAUUCAGUUCCGCCUAUUCCACAUUAAUGGGAGUACAUUUAUGUUUCUGCUUCACGAAUAUGAUAUUUUUUGGACAUUUCUAAUAAUAGCAAGCCUUAUUCCUAUUUUGGUAUUUUGGAUUUCAGGACUUUUAGCCCCGGUUAGUGAAGGACCAGAGAAGCUUUCUAGUUAUGAAUCGGGUAUAGAACCCAUGGGGGGGGCUUGGUUACAAUUCCGAAUACGCUAUUACAUGUUUGCGCUAGUUUUUGUUGUUUUUGAUGUGGAAACAGUCUUUCUCUACCCUUGGGCAAUGAGUUUCGACGUAUUGGGUGUAUCCGUUUUUAUCGAAGCUUUCAUUUUUGUGCUUAUCCUAGUUGUUGGUUUAGUUUAUGCAUGGCGAAAAGGAGCCUUGGAAUGGUCUUAACUGAAUAUUCAGAAAAAAAAAAAAAAGAAGGAAAAGAUUCCAUUGAGACAAUUAUGAGUUUGAUUGAGUUUCCGUUACUCGACCAAACAAGUUCCAAUUCCGUUAUUUCAACUACACCAAACGAUCUUUCAAAAUUGGUCAAGACUCUCAAGUUUAUGGCCCCUUCUAUAUGGUACCAGUUGUUGUUUCAUUGAAUUUGCUUCAUUAAUAGGCUCACGAUUCGACUUUGAUCGUUAUGGAUUGGUACCAAGAUCAAGUCCUAGACAAGCGGACCUAAUUUUAACAGCUGGUACGGUAACAAUGAAAAUGGCUCCAUCUUUAGUGCGAUUAUAUGAGCAAAUGCCUGAACCGAAAUACGUCAUUGCUAUGGGAGCCUGUACUAUUACAGGGGGCAUGUUCAGUACAGAUUCCUAUAGUACUGUUCGAGGAGUUGAUAAGUUAAUUCCUGUGGACGUCUACCUGCCGGGUUGCCCGCCUAAACCAGAGGCUGUUAUAGAUGCCCUAACAAAACUUCGUAAGAAGAUAGCGCGAGAAAUAAUUGAGGAUCGAACUCUAUGUCAAAGUCAAAAGAAAAAUAGAUCUUUUACUACCCGUCACAAACUUUAUGUUCGGCGCAGUACUCACACUGGAACUUACGAACAAGAAUUGCUCUAUCAAUCACCAUCUACUUUAGAUAUAUCUUCUGAAACUUUUUUCAAAUCCAAAAGUUCAGUAUCUUCCUACAAAUUAGUGAAUUAGGAGGGGUUCUUUUGUGCAGAAAAAGAAAGAAAAGAGCAGUACAAUCUUUCAAACUUGCAUUUGAAAUGUGAAAUAUUUAUACAAAGGGGGAGAGAUCAAGACAAUGCAGCAGGGUUGGUUAUCUAAUUGGCUAGUUAAACAUGACGUGGUUCAUAGGUCUUUGGGCUUCGAUCAUCGAGGAGUAGAGACUUUACAAAUAAAAGCGGGGGAUUGGGAUUCCAUUGCUGUCAUUUUAUAUGUAUAUGGUUACAAUUAUUUACGUUCCCAAUGUGCUUAUGACGUAGCACCCGGUGGAUCUUUAGCUAGCGUGUAUCAUCUUACGAGAAUACAGUAUGGUAUAGAUAACCCAGAAGAGGUAUGCAUAAAAGUCUUUGCCCAAAAGGAUAAUCCUAGAAUCCCGUCUGUUUUCUGGGUUUGGAGAAGUGCCGAUUUUCAAGAACGCGAAUCUUAUGAUAUGGUGGGAAUUUCUUAUGAUAAUCAUCCACGUCUUAAACGUAUCUUAAUGCCUGAAAGUUUGGAUAGGCUGGCCCUUACGUAAGGACUAUAUAACCCCCAAUUUCUAUGAAAUACAAGAUGCUCAUUGAGUGAUAAUAAAUUCAUGUUCACUUAUACAACACAAUUCCAGAUUUAUUCAAGUCAAGGAAUAUUUUGACGUUCUGUUCCUAGACGAAACGAAAUACUUAGAAUAUAAUAUUCUAAUUAAUUCCUAUUAUACAAAAAGGUCCAGAUAGACUGAACAAAAAGGGCUUCAUUUCUAUUUUCCAAUUUGGAAAAUCACAUAUUUGUUUCCUUCGUAUGAACAGAAAAAUACAAUGACUCAAAGAAGUUCCUACCACGAACUUUGUACCGCGCAUAUUACUUAGAACAACUGGGAAAGUAGGAUAAGCAAGAAUAAAAAAAAAUAUAUUCUUCGGAAUAGCGGUAUACAAAAUUAAUAAGAAAUGCAAAAUGAAGAAAAGGGCACCUAAUCUCACCUCUUUCUAUACCAUAAAGAACCAGAGAUUUAAACCCUUUUUUUAAAAGAAAAAGAAGUGUUUAGAGAUUUAUCUACUUACUCUAGAGAUUUAUCUACUUACUCUAGACUAAAGACUAAGUAGAUUUUUAAUAAAUAUUUACCCCAAUCCAUCUCAAAAUAUUUGUAUCAAUAUCUAUUCAGUAGAUCCUUUUUUUCUGUGCCAGGAACCAGAUUUGAACUGGUGACACGAGGAUUUUCAGUCCUCUGCUCUACCAACUGAGCUAUCCUGACCCUUUCUUGUGCAUCAUCUUAGUAAAGUAUUUGCAUCUAUGUCAAUUAAAGGGACUAAAAAAUCAAUAAAGUAUUCCAUUCAAAAUUAGGAAAUGGGGAGGGGUAGUCCUAUGCAUUGUGGAUGGCUUACUUAAUAAUACUUAAAAAAAAACGAAUUAAUAAUCGAGAUUCCUUGCCGAUACUCUACUCUAAUAAAUAAAAAAGAAAUAAAAAAGAAAUCAUCUAUUUAAUGAAUAGCAUAAGAUUCAUUGAGUUCUUGUCGCACUCCUUUGUGAAAGAGUAGAAUGAGAAAGCUAGUGAAUCUUAAACCCAUUGAUAAAAGAAAAAAAGGAUAACAACUAUGGUUAGGGAAUAAAAGAGGGUUUGGGGAUAGAGGGACUUGAACCCUCACGACUUAUAAAGUCGACGGAUUUUCCUUUUACUAGAAAUUUCAUUGUUGUCAGUAUUGACAUGUAGAAUGGGACUCUCUCUUUAUCCUCGUCCGAUUAAUCCACUUUUAAAAAUUAAAAGAUCUCGAAAACAAUGAAUUGAAGGAUUUGAUUACUCAAUAUUUGAUUGGAAUAGAUUCACAAUAAUUCUAAAAAAAAAUUAUGAAUUUUCUAUUUCAUAAUCAUUCCUAAUUUCAUUCUAAAAAUAAAAUAAAGAACCUAUAUUAUAAUAUGGGUUCUGUGAUUAAUCGUUAUUACUUCGAUUCGUUAGAACAGCUUCCAUUGAGUCUCUGCACCUAUCCUUUUCCUUUGGGUUCUAGUUUGAGAACCACUUGUUUUUCAAAAAAGGGAUUUGGCUCAGGAUUGCCCAUUUUUCAUUCCAGGGUUUCUCUGAAUUUGGAAGUUACCACUUAGCAGGUUUCCAUACCAAGGCUCAAUACAAUCAAGUCCGUAGCGUCUACCGAUUUCGCCAUAUCCCCAUUUUACUUUUCUUUGAAACCAGGAUUCCUUGUAUAAUUUAAUCCAUCUCUUAGUUUUUUUUUGAAUCAUUGAAAUUCAUUAUUCGACGUAGUCUAGCAACUCAUCUCUAUUUGAGACACCCCGCUCGCUUAUUGCAAUUCAGAAUUGCAUUGAUUUUAUCGUUGAUAUAUUUGCAAUUCAAUCGGAAUGAAUAUAUCCAAAAGUUUUUCUCUCUCCCGCCUCCCUCCUUCCUUUUUAGAGUAUUCCAAAUCAUACUAUAACGCUUGAUAUUCAUUCUUUUUUUCUAAACUGAAUUAGAAAUUUCAUUUGCUAUGAUUCUAUCUUCUCCUUAGUGAACUAUUUAUCCUUAAAUUAUUAACAAAUAAAAAAAACAAAAUAUCUCAAAAAUGUAUAUAAUGAUCAAAUGAAAAUGCCAAUCUCUUGGCAUUUUCUCUUUAUUAUAUUAUUCAUAUAUAUUCUUCUUUUUCUUCUUUUCUAUGUAUUAGAUUAUUCCUCCGAGCCAUAUCAAAUUGAAAAUAUCUGAAAUCAAAUUCAAUAUAGAAUUUGGAAUAGAUUCUAUUAAAAAAAUCCAUUUGCGAAUUAGAGAAAUAAAAAGAAAGUUCAAUAAAUUCUAUAAUCCUAUUUAAGAAUAUCAUUUAGUUAAGCAUAUCAAGCUAACUUUAUCUUUAUGAAAUUCUAGUAUUUUUUUUUUUCUAUCUAAGUGGAACUUCCAAUUUAGAACUAGUUAAUAACUAAGAUUAAUAAUUAAGAUCUGACAUUUUACAGAUUCCCUAUAUAUAUUUUUAUUUGUUACACUAUUUCUGUUAUGUAAGCCCACUUAGCUCAGAGGUUAGAGCAUCGCAUUUGUAAUGCGAGGGUCAUCGGUUCAAAUCCGAUAGUCGGCUUUUUUUUCUAUCGAUGUUCUAUGAACAAGAAUUUCUCUUUUUCUCCGAAUAAAAUGGGGAAUCCAGGGUCUAUUAUGUCGUUUUACCUUACAAUUUUGCUAGAUACAAAGCAUAAAAAUAAAUAAUAUAUAUACAAAAAAUCCAGAUGUUGAUGAAAUUCCAUUUUUUGUGUUACUCCAUUUUUUGUGUUACUUUAGUAGAUUUUACUCUGUUUAUCCUUUAGUUUAAUUCUGUUGAAUUUCGCUGUAUUCUGUAAUGUAAAUAGAACGAAAUUUAUUGUGUAAAAUGAAAUUUCAAUAAAAUAAAAAAGGAGUCUUCAUGUCCCGUUAUCGAGGGCCUCGUUUAAAAAAAUACGCCGUCUGGGAGCUUUACCAGGACUCACUAGAAAAACGCCUAAAUCCGGAAGUAAUCAGAAAAAGAAAUUCCAUUCUGGGAAAAAAGAGCAAUAUCGUAUUCGUCUUCAAGAAAAACAGAAAUUGCGUUUUCAUUAUGGUCUGACAGAACGACAAUUACUUAGAUAUGUACAUAUCGCUGGAAAAGCAAAAAGAUCCACAGGUCAGGUUUUACUACAAUUACUUGAAAUGCGUUUGGAUAAUAUCCUUUUUCGAUUGGGUAUGGCUUCAACCAUUCCUGGGGCCCGACAAUUAGUUAACCAUAGACAUAUUUUAGUUAAUGGUCGUAUAGUUGAUAUACCAAGCUUUCGUUGCAAACCCCGAGAUAUUAUUACUACGAAGGAUAACCAACGAUCAAAACGUUUGGUUCAAAAUUAUAUUGCUUCAUCCGAUCCGGGCAAAUUACCAAAGCAUUUGACGGUUGACACAUUGCAAUAUAAAGGACUAGUAAAAAAAAAUUCUAGAUAGGAAGUGGGUCGGUCUCAAAAUAAAUGAGUUGUUAGUUGUAGAAUAUUAUUCUCGCCAGACUUGAACUUAACGAAAAAAGGAAAGGUUCAUAGAAUUUUUUUCCCCUUCCCCUUUCCCCGAACUAAAUCGACCUAAGGCUCUUAAUUCGUAUUUUCCCGUUCACCUAGCAGAAAUAGAUUAACCCUAGGAUACUUUUUUCUUUUUUGUUAUUUCCUCGAUGUGUAUUUUACAUACCACAGUAAUUUGCUAUAGAGAAUUUCUAUUAAUUAAAGGUAUUAUUGUUGGAAUAAAUUGUUAUUUAAUUUGAUACAUUGUGAUCGCUAACAUUGAUGAAUUAAGAGAAACGGAAAGAGAGGGAUUCGAACCCUCGGUAAACAAAAGUCUACAUAGCAGUUCCAAUGCUACGCCUUGAACCGCUCGGCCAUCUCUCCUACAUAAUCUUAUUAUGGAAAAUAAACUGAGUGAAUAGCGAGUUUUCGUAUUCCUGCAGUACAGGUACAGCCACAACGGCUCGGGAAUUCAUGGCUCUAUUGGAUUGGAUGGAAAAAUUCCUUUUCAUCUAAGUGGAAGGAUCCUGUAUUUUUUUACUAGGAAUUCUGCUCCCUCGAAAAGUUUUUCUUUGGGGAAAACCAAAAUAAAAAGAGAAUGGAAGAAUUCUUCUUAUUCCAUAAGAAAAUAAAGGAACCCUAGAAUUCCAUUUGCAUAAGGUACAUUACGCCAUACAAUCUAAAUAUAAAAGGGGUAUGGGGCAAUUAAAUGACUUUGAAAACGCGAAAUAGCUGAUGAGGGAAGUUGUUGUUGAGAAAUAGGAAAGUGGAAUGAAAUCCAGUCUUAGUCAAAUAUUUCAUAUCUCUUCUCUUCUUGUCCAAACAGAAGGAAAAGGAGACAAUUUGAGCUGAGCGGAAAUCCAUAUCUCUCUUAUCCAUUUAGAGCAUAUGGAUCGAUUUAUAAGAAUCGAAUGUUUUGUUUUUAUGUUAUUUUGUGAUAGAAUGAAAAGAAUUCUAUAUAGAAUGGGUUGGGAAUUAUGCCUAGAUCCCGUAUAAAUGGAAAUUUCAUUGAAUAAGACCUCCUCGAUUGUAGCCAAUAUUUUAUUGCAAAUAAUUCCGACAACCUCCGGGGAAAAAAGGGCAUUUACUUAUUAUAGAGAUGGGAUGUUGGCUCAAUCCGAAGGAAAUUAUGCGGAAGCUUUGCAGAAUUAUUAUGAAGCUACGCGACUAGAAAUUGAUCCCUAUGAUCGAAGUUAUAUACUAUAUAACAUAGGCCUUAUACACACAAGCAAUGGAGAGCAUACAAAGGCUUUGGAAUAUUAUUUCCGGGCGCUAGAACGAAACCCCUUCUUACCGCAAGCUUUUAAUAAUAUGGCCGUGAUCUGUCAUUACCGAGGAGAACAGGCCAUUCUACAGGGCGAUUCGGAAAUUGCGGAAGCUUGGUUUGAUCAAGCUGCUGAGUAUUGGAAACAAGCUAUAGCGCUUACUCCAGGAAAUUAUAUUGAAGCACAGAACUGGUUAAAGAUUACGAAGCGCUUUGAAUUUGAAUAAGACCACUCUCCAUUUUCAUAAAAAGGGUGGUUUGGUUGAAAAUCAAAUCAAGAAUUUCAUUAUAUCCCUUUCUUCUACCUUCAAUUUUAUAUCAUAUUUCAUAAGGAUAAACAAUAGGGAUAGGCUCUGGAACAGAAGUAAUAAAGUACAUAAAAAUCGGCAAUCUAAAUAUUCCUACCUAAUAUAUCAGGACGGUCUUAUUAAUAAUUCUAAUGAGUUAUCUUGGAAUUUUGAAUCGAAUCAAAAAAUCUAUAUUAUGCUCACUCAAGGAAAGUAGAUGUAGAUAGGGGCUUAUACCCUCAGAAAAAAAAUACACCAGCUUCUUAAAUUAAAACGUAAAAAAAGAUUUUUUUGUUAUGUCGGGAAAUAAUUUUCCAGAAUAACCAAUGUCCGUUAGGCACCUAAUCCUUAUGUCAUAAUAGAUCCGAACACUUGCCUCGGAUUGACUUCAAUAUAUAAUUGCUCCAGUGAAUAACUAAAAAAAAAAAAAUAGAAGGACGGUAGAUAGUAAAGAAAAGGACUAAUCAUAAUAUCUAUCUUUAAAAGAUUCAAUAAAAAGACAGUUGGCGGGUCUCUUUGUAUGUCUUGUCCGGAAAGAGGAGGACUUAAUGAUUAUUCGUUCGUCGGAACCAGAAGUUAAAAUUGCUGUGGAUAGGGAUCCUAUAAAAACAUCUUUUGAGGAAUGGGCCAGACCCGGGCAUUUCUCAAGAACAAUAGCUAAGGGCCCCGAUACUACCACUUGGAUCUGGAACCUACAUGCUGAUGCUCACGAUUUCGAUAGUCAUACCGGUGAUUUGGAGGAGAUCUCCCGAAAAGUCUUUAGUGCUCAUUUCGGCCAACUCUCCAUUAUCUUUCUUUGGUUGAGUGGCAUGUACUUCCACGGUGCCCGUUUUUCCAAUUAUGAAGCAUGGCUAAGCGAUCCUACUCACAUUGGACCCAGUGCUCAGGUAGUUUGGCCAAUAGUAGGACAAGAAAUUUUGAAUGGUGAUGUAGGCGGGGGUUUCCGAGGAAUCCAAAUAACCUCUGGUUUUUUUCAGAUUUGGCGAGCAUCCGGAAUAACUAGUGAAUUACAACUCUAUUGUACCG